CAGAUGCUAAUACCGGAUAACAACAGAUGAUGCCUAUCAACUGUUUAAAAGAUGGUUCUGCUAUCACUCUUGGAUGGACCUGCGGUGCAUUAGCUAGUUGGUAGGGUAACGGCCUACCAAGGCGAUGAUGCAUAGCCGAGUUGAGAGACUGAUCGGCCACAUUGGGACUGAGACACGGCCCAAACUCCUACGGGAGGCAGCAGUC
rnacentral:rRNA from 1 species